GAAAUGCGAUAAGUAAUGUGAAUUGCAGAAUUCAGUGAAUCAUCGAAUCUUUGAACGCACCUUGCGCUCCUUGGUAUUCCUUGGAGCAUGCCUGUUUGAGUAUCAUGAAAUCUUCAAAGUAAAUCUUUUAUUAACUCAAUUGGUUUCUACUUUGGUAUUGGAGGUCUUUGCAGCUUCACACCUGCUCCUCUUUGUUCAUUAGCUGGAUCUCAGUGUUAUGCUUGGUUCCACUCGGCGUGAUAAGUUAUCUAUCGCUGAGGACACUGUAAAAGGUGGCCAAGGUAAAUGCAGAUGAACCGCUUCUAAUAGUCCAUUGACUUGGACAAUACUUUUAUGAUCUGAUCUCAAAUCAGGUAGGACUACCCGCUGAACUUAAGC
rnacentral:misc_RNA from 1 species